rnacentral:rRNA from 1 species
CGUCUUAAAAAUGAAGAUUAAUACUCCAUGGCAUUAUGAUAUGGCAUCAUAUUAUAAUUAAAGAUUUAUCGGUAUAAGAUGAGUAUGCGUCCUAUUAGUUAGUUGGUAAGGUAAUGGCUUACCAAGACUUCGAUAGGUAGGGGUCCUGAGAGGGAGACCCCCCACACUGGUACUGAGACACGGACCAG